rnacentral:rRNA from 1 species
AGCUUCACGAGGGUGAGUUACAACCCUCGAUCCGAACUAUGAACAGGUUUCAAGAUUACCUUCACCUUUCGGUGUCGGGACCCAUUGUCCUAUCCUUUGUAGCGCGCGUGUAGCCCGGAGGAUUCAGGGCAUACUGACCUACCGUUGCCCUCACCUUCCUCUGAUUUAGCACCAGCGGUUUCUUUAAUGUGCCUGAUAAGCGAACUUACCAGCCGCAAUUAAAGAUGAGGGUCUUGUUCGUUGUCUGACUUAACAGAACGCCUUACGGUACGAACUGACGACGGCCAUGCACCACCUCUCGGAAAAUCUGGCAAGGUCAUUAGCCUGGCCUUCAUAUAACCGUCGCCUCCGGUGAGCUUUCCGGCGUUGAAUCCAAUUAAACCGCACGCUCCACCCGUUGCAGUGCU